UUUCCGUAGGUGAACCUGCGGAAGGAUCAUUGUCGAGACCGAAAUAUAAAUCGAGCGAUCUAGAGAACAUGUGAAUCGAGUGAUGGUUGCCGCCAUCGCGGGAUGUCCGGCCUGGCUGUCACCACAACCUCCUCAGCGGGGAGAGCGGGGGCAGGACCGUGGGCGAUAAAAACACAAAUCGGCGCAGCAUCGCGCCAAGGAAAAAUUCGAAGGCACGAGCCCCGUGAAGGGCUCGUUGGUGUGGGGUGCAGCAGCACCCCAUGCGGUUGGACACGACUCUCGGCAAUGGAUAUCUCGGCUCUCGCAUCGAUGAAGAGCGCAGCGAAAUGCGAUAUGUGGUGCGAUUUGCAGAAUCCCGCGAACCAUCGAGUCUUUGAACGCAAGUUGCGCCCGAGGCCAGCAGGCCAAGGGCACGUCCGCCUGGGCGUCAAGCAUUGCGUCGCUCCGUGCCAGCUCUGACACCAUUUUUUAUGUUGUUUGAGGCUCGGAUGUGCAGAGUGGCUCAUCGUGCUCGUCGGUGCGGUGGGCUGAAGAUCGGGUAACGUCUCGUUGGCUGCGAACAAUAAGGGAUGGGUGAAUGCUGUGAGCGUAGCCUGCGUUGUCUCGUGUUGGCCCAAGAGGCGGAUUGCGCCUUCAAGGUGAUCCCGACCCAUGCGUCGUUCCCAUGCGGSCGGCGGCUUGGAAUGCGACCCCAGGAUGGGCGAGGCCACCCGCUGAGCUUAA
rnacentral:sRNA from 1 species